UUCUGUCUCGUUGGCCUUCCGCGUUGGU
rnacentral:piRNA from 1 species